UACGUAGGGCGCAAGCGUUGUCCGGAAUUAUUGGGCGUAAAGAGCUCGUAGGCGGCCAGUUGCGUCCGCUGUGAAAUCCCCGGGGCUUAACCCCGGGCGUGCAGUGGAUACGGGCUGGCUAGAGGCAGGCAGGGGGAGAACGGAAUUCCCGGUGUAGCGGUGAAAUGCGCAGAUAUCAGGAGGAACACCGGUGGCGAAGGCGGGUCUCUGGGCCUGUACUGACGCUGGAGGAGCGAAAGCCGUGGGGAGCGAACAGG
rnacentral:rRNA from 1 species